GAUGAACGCUGGCGGCGUGCCUAAUACAUGCAAGUAGAACGCUGAAGCUUGGUGCUUGCACCGAGCGGAGGAGUUGCGAACGGGUGAGUAACGCGUAGGUAACCUGCCUCUUAGCGGGGGAUAACUAUUGGAAACGAUAGCUAAUACCGCAUAAAAGUCGACAUUGCAUGAUGUUGACUUGAAAGGUGCAACUGCAUCACUAAGAGAUGGACCUGCGUUGUAUUAGCUAGUUGGUGAGGUAACGGCUCACCAAGGCGACGAUACAUAGCCGACCUGAGAGGGUGAUCGGCCACACUGGGACUGAGACACGGCCCAGACUCCUACGGGAGGCAGCAGUAGGGAAUCUUCGGCAAUGGACGGAAGUCUGACCGAGCAACGCCGCGUGAGUGAAGAAGGUUUUCGGAUCGUAAAGCUCUGUUGUAAGAGAAGAACGAGUGUGAGAGUGGAAAGUUCACACUGUGACGGUAACUUACCAGAAAGGG
rnacentral:rRNA from 1 species